AGGGGCAGCAUGGUCUUAGCUUGCUAAGACUGAUGGCGACCGGCGCACGGGUGCGUAACGCGUAUGCAACUUGCCUCACAGAGGGGGAUAACCCGUCGAAAGACGGACUAAUACCGCGUACACUUGGAUUAGGGCAUCCUAAACCAAGGAAAUGAAUUUCGCUGUGAGAUAGGCAUGCGUCCCAUUAGCUAGUUGGUGAGGUAACGGCUCACCAAGGCGACGAUGGGUAGGGGAACUGAGAGGUUGAACCCCCACACUGGUACUGAGACACGGACCAGACUCCUACGGGAGGCAGCAGUGAGGAAUAUUGGUCAAUGGGCGAGAGCCUGAACCAGCCAAGUCGCGUGAAGGAUGACUGUCUUAUGGAUUGUAAACUUCUUUUAUACGGGAAUAACAAGAGCUACGUGUAGCUCCCUGCAUGUACCGUAUGAAUAAGCAUCGGCUAACUCCGUGCCAGCAGCCGCGGUAAUACGGAGGAUGCGAGCGUUAUCCGGAUUUAUUGGGUUUAAAGGGUGCGUAGGCGGCCUGUUAAGUCAGCGGUGAAAUCUAGGAGCUUAACUCCUAAAUUGCCAUUGAAACUGGCGGGCUUGAGUGUAGAUGAGGUAGGCGGAAUGCGUGGUGUAGCGGUGGAAUGCAUAGAUAUCACGCAGAACUCCGAUUGCGAAGGCAGCUUACUAAGGUACAACUGACGCUGAAGCACGAAAGCGUGGGUAUCAAACAGGAUUAGAUACCCUGGUAGUCCACGCAGUAAACGAUGAUAACUGGGCGUAUGCGAUAUACAGUAUGCUCCUAAGCGAAAGCGUUAAGUUAUCCACCUGGGGAGUACGCCGGCAACGGUGAAACUCAAAGGAAUUGACGGGGGCCCGCACAAGCGGAGGAACAUGUGGUUUAAUUCGAUGAUACGCGAGGAACCUUACCCGGGAUUGAAAUG
rnacentral:rRNA from 1 species